AGAAUCAACGCUGGCGGCGUGCCUAACACAUGCAAGUCGAACGAGAACGGAGCCUUCGGGUUCCUAGUAAAGUGGCGCACGGGUGAGUAACACGUGACUAACCUACCCUUGAGUGGGGAAUAACUUCGAGAAAUCGAGGCUAAUUCCGCAUAAUACCUACGGGUCAAAGGAGCAAUUCGCUUAAGGAGGGGGUCGCGGCAGAUUAGCUAGUUGGCGGGGUAAUGGCCCACCAAGGCUUUGAUCUGUA
rnacentral:rRNA from 1 species